CAGCAGUGAGGAAUAUUGGUCAAUGGGAGAGAUCCUGAACCAGCCAAGCCGCGUGAGGGAAGACGGCCCUAUGGGUUGUAAACCUCUUUUGUCGGAGAACAAAACCCGGGACGAGUCCCGGAUUGCGUGUAUCCGAAGAAAAAGCAUCGGCUAACUCCGUGCCAGCAGCCGCGGUAAUACGGAGGAUGCGAGCGUUAUCCGGAUUUAUUGGGUUUAAAGGGUGCGUAGGCGGUCCGUUAAGUCAGCGGUAAAAUUGCGGGGCUCAACCCCGUCGAGCCGUUGAAACUGGCAGACUUGAGUUGGCGAGAAGUACGCGGAAUGCGCGGUGUAGCGGUGAAAUGCAUAGAUAUCGCGCAGAACUCCGAUUGCGAAGGCAGCGUACCGGCGCCACACUGACGCUGAGGCACGAAAGCGUGGGGAUCGAACAGGAUUAGA
rnacentral:rRNA from 1 species